rnacentral:rRNA from 1 species
AAAAGAACCUGAAACCGUGUACGUACAAGCAGUGGGAGCACCCUUCGGGGUGUGACUGCGUACCUUUUGUAUAAUGGGUCAGCGACUUAUAUUCUGUAGCAAGGUUAACCGUAUAGGGGAGCCGGAGGGAAACCGAGUCUUAAUUGGGCGUUAAGUUGCAGGGUAUAGACCCGAAACCCGGUGAUCUAGCCAUGGGCAGGUUGAAGGUUGGGUAACACUAACUGGAGGACCGAACCGACUAAUGUUGAAAAAUUAGCGGAUGACCUGUGGCUGGGGGUGAAAGGCCAAUCAAACCGGGAGAUAGCUGGUUCUCCCCGAAAGCUAUUUAGGUAGCGCCUCGUGAAUUCAUCUCCGGGGGUAGAGCACUGUUUCGGCUAGGGGGCCAUCCCGGCUUACCAACCCGAUGCAAACUGCGAAUACCGGAGAAUGUUAUCACGGGAGACACACGGCGGGUGCUAACGUCCGUCGUGAAGAGGGAAACAACCCAGACCGCCAGCUAAGGUCCCAAAGUCAUGGUUAAGUGGGAAACGAUGUGGGAAGGCCCAGACAGCCAGGAUGUUGGCUUAGAAGCAGCCAUCAUUUAAAGAAAGCGUAAUAGCUCACUGGUCGAGUCGGCCUGCGCGGAAGAUGUAACGGGGCUAAACCAUGCACCGAAGCUGCGGCAGCGAACGUAUCACCCAAGACAACUUUACGGAGUUGACGAUUGACGGAGCGAAGCGAC